rfam:Nomascus leucogenys chromosome 10, whole genome shotgun sequence.
ACCAUCGAGGACCUGCGGGACAAGAUUCUUGGUGCCACCAUUGAGAACUCCAGGAUUGUCCUGCAGAUCAACAAC